AGGAGCGGCAAUCGCAGGGUAAAACCAUACUCUUUGACUAUGAAGACAUACUCUGCGGCUGGGAAACUUAGUAGGAAAAAUAUUUCUCUCUCUCCUAAUGUUGUUCUUCCAGUUCGUACGAUCGAUACAUUUGAAGGCUUUCAAGAAAACCUUAACGAACGUACAAAUAAUUUACGUGGAAUUGGAUCUCGAUAUGACAGGAGGAGAGUGAAUGAAAGCGAAUCCUGGAAGUGUUUGUAAAAUAAUUUAGUAAAGUCGUACAUCGAAAAUUGUGCCAUGUUACCAGGACAACUCUGCGUAAAAUGUGUAGAAGAUGGGAUACCAGCAAAAAAAGCCGAAAUUAGAUGUCGUGAUUGCGGUCACGGAUAGUUCCACUGUUUUGAGUAUGCGGAAUCCCUUCAUCGAACAAGAAAUGUUUUCCAGUGGAAGACUGAUUGUGAAAUGUUUGUUCCAUUAAUUUUUGGUGGUAUAUUACGUGAGAGUCAGCAUGCUAACUGCUCUUCAACACAAUCACGUACUAUAAUAUGUGUGGAUGGAAAAGGUUGGCAGCAUUUAAAA